rnacentral:lncRNA from 1 species
AAAAGGUAGCUCCAUGUCACCACAGUGGUGACCCUUCUCUCUGACUCAUUUCCCAUUAUGAGCACAAUUAGCGUGCAGCAUGUGUCCUGGGAGAUUAAUGAUCCGCUGGAGGGAAGAAAGAGGAACUUGGGGAAUGGAUCUGGGUGUAGUCAGAGCUCGCCUCUCCCUGGGAGCUGCCUUGGUGCUGUAAAGGAUCUCAUGUCUUUUGCCAGCUUUGAUGAAACUUGCUAGUUGGAAAGCAGAGUGAAAUCUCAGGCUCUACAACUCUUGACAUAAGUAUUUUAUUCAUUUUUGGUGUCUAUGUUCUUGAAGUACUUAAGAGAUUUGGGGCUAUGCAAGUAAUAGACCAACUUUGUGAUUCAUAUUAAAAUUAAGUGAUUUAAACGCAGGAUUUUUAAUUUGAAAUUAUUUAAGUUUAUAAACAGUAUGGGAACAUUUAGAAAGACCUGGAUUCAUUCUGUUUAUAAUUGUAAUCCAUUAAAUUUAUGAAAAUUACCUAAGAAAUCUGAAAAGGUUUGGUUUAGCCAUCAGGCAAUUGAAGUACCUAAACAAGGAAAUAAAAUAUAUUAAAUUUAUAAAUCUUACUUUAAAUGUUUGAAUGAGUUAAAUAACUCCGUUUGUAUUGGGACCAAACUCUUUAACUCUUUAAGACUGCCUUAAAUCAUUUUGUUAAAAAUCUUAGAUUGAUUUCCACUUCUAUGUAGAGAGUUAGAAAGUAUAUCACCUCUACCCUAACAACAAGAAUAUGACAAAUGAAAUACAAAAUGAUAAUGUUCCUUGAACUCAUCAGAGGACUGACAUCACAGGGCAACUAAGCAACUAGAAUUCCAAAGAAGGACAAGCCCCUCCAAAGACAGGAAGCAUGAGGGCAGGCUCAUCAGUGUCAGAGCAGGGGAGACCAGCACAGACACCUUACAAGCAGAAUGACCUUCUGUGGCUACAGAGAAAGGCUUCAGGCAAAGAGAUGCAGCUCUGGGCCCCAGAGUCCGCUGGAGCACACUGAAGCUGGAGCACACUGAAGUGGAAGAUGGGGCUGCAGACAGAGACUGGGCAGCCUCUGCUCCAGGGAGGCCCGAGAGCCAGAGAGCAGAUUCCAUAAGAAGAAUAACUCCCAUUCCUCAUGCAUGAGACCCUCUGCUAAAUGCUUCCUGUGCACCACCUCCAGAAAUCCUCCCAAGCCAGGACACCAGCAGUAUUACAGAUUCACCAGUUAUAGAUUUCUCUUGGCUGACAAGUGUCCUCCCAGAAUGCAAACCCUUCUGGAAGAAGAACCAGAGUGACUGAUCAUUUCUACACAAUAGAAGUCCUUUCCUUCUCGAGAAUGUUCAGCUCAUCUGCAGGACUGCCUGGAGCUUGACAAGCAGGGCAGAGAGAGCAGGGGAGUGAGUCUCAGCAGGAGCGCAGACAGACGUGGGGGAGAAGUUGCAGCAAAAGCCUAAGGUUGGCUCAGAUGAGGGUCAUGGAGGAGUGGAGGAUGGACACCAGGAAGUGAGAGAGGGUGCAGAGGCCAGAGACAAACUCACUGAUGUCAAAAUGCUGCUGAAAAUGUGGUUGCCUUAAGGAAUUGGAAAGGAAAA